AAAAAUAAGGGUAUUAGUUCUAGCUGCACGAAGGCUCUGUGAUUGACCGGGAUGAAGGUCAGCACUCGUCAGAACCUUCAGCUCCAUUAAGUGUUUCCAUUUUCCCCUCCAGAGGGAUCAGGGUGUAAGCUCUGCCCCACAAACUGGCUGCUGCACAGGGACAAGUGCUACUGGGUGUCUAAAGAAAAAAAUCCCUGGGACAAGAGCCGCGACGACUGUUCGAAGAGGAGGGCUCGACUGUUAAUGAUUCGGGAUCAGGAUGAGAUGGCCUUCAUACAAACUACUUCCAAAGAUGCAAACCGGAUCUGGCUUGGACUCACCCUUACAUUCCCUGCAAGGAAAAGGAUUUGGGUGGACGGCUCCCUGUUAAAUCAAACACUGUUCAAGGUAGUGGAUCCUGCAGAAGGGAACAGCUGCGGGGUGAUAAAAGCAGAUCAGAUUCAUUUUGAAACCUGCAGUGCUGUAUCGAAAUGGAUUUGUGAAAAAGACGCUCUCCUGAUCUAGACAGUGACAUUAGUGCUCUGCCCUUGUGUGUGUGAAGGACAAAUCCUCUGUAGUGUCAGUCUGUCACAUGAAUGAUGAAUAAUGUAGGUGAGCUUCAAAGGGAAAAAAUGGACUUAUGCCCUUUUCCCCUCCCUGCUUUUAUGGUGGAUAGAAAUGUCCCCGAAGACUUUUCUUGCAUUUGAAAUUCAGGUCCUGUCUCGGCUAGAAGAUUAUAGUGAAGGGAGAACUAGUGAAAAGGCAUCACAAGUAGAGGUGGGGGACAAUUUUCCACUAUAUCAUUUAUUUGCGCCCCCCCCCCCCACUUUAAAAAAAUGCACUUUGGGGCCGAACAAGACUAUUCACAAACUGGUGUUGAAUUCACUGAAUAGUUUCAGCUAAAAUAAAAACAAAGAAACAAAAUUCA
ensembl:lncRNA